GAAAGUGAAUCCAGUCGAUCAAGGGUUUAGAUGGUGGGGGUCCUCUGGUAGAAGACUACGGAGGAGAAAUCAAAUUUACAUCUCUCAGCUCUCAAGCCGCGAACAGGAGAAAGGCUUGUUUCUAAUUGUAAUUCUUUUCCUUGGUCUCUCUCUCUGCAACCAAAACAGGGCUUCGUGCCCUUUUCUACUUUCCUUUUCUCCUAUCUCAAGCACACUCGCAACAGUGGGUGAAUUCAUGAUUAUUUUGCCUUAGUCCAGAUCGACAGUCUAGAGAGAUGCACCUGAGGCUUUAGCAUUGCUGCCUAACAUAAGAUUAAUAGCAUCAUAAAAUCGCAGCGGGAGUUCUGGCAUUACCAAGUAAUGUGGACGAAUGUUUUCAAAAUUGGAGGUCUUCAGCAAAUUUCCUGGUUCCAGUUUCUCCCAUAUGAAUCUGAUCUGAGCCCUCUACCUGAGAAAAGUGUGAAAGCGGAUCAGAAGGAUGCUGCUACACUGCUCGUACUUUCAUCACAUCUGCAAUUGCAACAGGAAGGGCUUCUCAGUGCAUGGACCAAUUCCUUUGUUGGUCCAUGGGAUCCAUCUCAGGGUAUGCACAAUCCAGAUGAGAAAAUCAAACUCUGGCUUUUCCUUCCUGGGCGCCAUUCAUCUGUUGUUGAGCAUGCUCAAGCUGCAGUCUCCAGAUUAAGAGUUGUUGGAACUGGACUGUGGUUGGCCCCUGGGGAUUCAGAAGAGGUUGCUGCAGCUUUAUCUCAGGCUCUACGAAAUUGCAUAGAAAGAUCUAUUAGGGGGCUUUCCUAUGUGAGAUUUGGAGAUGUAUUUUCCAGAUGCCUUCCAUUUUUGAGAGCUGAGAAACUUUUCAGGAGGGUGCAGCCGACAGUUGAGUUUGUGUUUGCAGCCACUGAAGAGGCAAUCUUUGUGCAUGUCAUAAUAUCUGCAAAGCAUGUUCGCCCACUUUCAUGUGAUGACAUGGAAUCUGUACUACGACAUCUCUCUUCCAAUAAUACUGGUGAAAGACUACCUGUUAUUAUUGCUCCUCAUGGAAUGAGAGGUAAGCUUACAGGAUGCUGUCCAAGUGAUCUUGUGAAGCAAGUUUAUUUUAGCAAAGCUAGGACUUCGAAUGGGUUUACUGUUCUUGGUUUGCCUUCCCAAGCUGUUCAAGCUUCUAGUUGCCAGCUGAGGGGGCAAAAUUGCCAUGUUGAGAUUACUCUUGGCUGCACUGGCAAAGGAGUGGCUCUUGCAAAAGUUGGUCUGAAGCAAGGACCGGGACAUCAUUAUCCUGUUCUUCAAAGGACAUUCAUUUAUCCAGCUGAAGCAGUGCUGGUCCCAGUCAUGCAUACAGUGUUUGCUAAAUCUUCUUUGAAAAGGAUCUGGGUACAAAAUUGGGUAGGGACAUCAUUGUUUGGUUCAUCUUUCUUUAUGCAUUGCUUGGGACUUGGAAGUACUGGUAAAAUGGAGUCUUUAGAUGGGCAGGGGAUUGACUCCAGUGGAAUACACACGCUACACAGUAAUAAUAGCAGUAGCAACAGUAAUAGCAGUAGCAACAACAGCAUAAGUAACACAUCCAGUGAGAGUGAUUACAGGAAUACCACAAGGGGUAGUGACCUUGAAGCAGAUGCUGAUUCUCUAACAUGUAGACAGUCUGGUUUAUCUUCUUCGGAUCAGUUGGAGAAUGAUGGUCUCAAAUUGGCUUCCAAGCGUCCCCGCACAAGCAUGACAGAUUCUUUUGGCCAGACAGGCACAGUAAUAAAUGAAACCAUGCAAGAUCCAUACAAGUCCGAGUAUAAUUCCAUUGAAGUUAACAACUCUGCCACUGCAGGAGUGGCAAAUGAUCAGGUUGGACCUCUUUGGGUUUGGGAUGAUGAAGACAGGGCUACAGGCAUGGAUAUCCAAACACUUCUAUCUGAGUUUGGAGAUUUUGGUGACUUCUUUGAAAAUGAUGCUCUGCCUUUUGGGGAGCCUCCAGGGACUGCAGAGUCACAGGCCCUAUUGUUUCCAGUGGAUGGUGGUGAUGGUAGCAGCAGUCCUUGUACUAUGGGAAUUGAUGUAACAGAUCAAAUGCUUUUGCCUGCUUUAGGGUUUCCAUCUUUUGAAGGGUUUAACCAACUUCCUAAAGAUGUUACAGAGGAGUUUAAUAGCAAAAAUCAAGAAAUUCAGUCUUCAGGUCCCGGGAGCAAUUCUUUAGCUCCUUCCACGGGUGAGUCUGACCAUUUGUCUAAAGUGGAAGCCAUGAUGAUAUUUGCUCCAGAAUAUAGAGCAAUUGAAGCCUCUAUAAGUGAGUUGCCCUCAUCAAUUUUCAGAAGCCCAUAUUUACCCAGAUCCAGAAAGGAAAAUAGUUCACAUUCAAGCUCAAAUGUGUAUGUCUAUGGUGCAAGACCACCUUGUUCUCCAUGCUUAGAUGUCUCAGAUGGGAAGCCUUCCAUAGCUGUGAAUUCAGAAACAGUUCCUGGUGGGUGUGAAGCAAAUUCCAUCCUUAACUUGAAGAAAUAUUACACCUAUGUUGAGACUGAGAAAGAGAAACUUGAUAGAGGAUCGUUGGCUUGUAAUAAUAGCAUUAUUUCUUCUGAGGUGGUGACUUCAUCCUGUGAGGGGGUAGCACCAUCUUUUUCUGGUCUGACUUCCACACAUGCUGUCAAAUCUGUCCAGAGGAAUAAGAAUGGAAGUAUGUUUGAAGCAGGGAACUUCCUGCUGUCUUCGAAGACUGUGCUUGCUGCAGAUAUUGAAUGCAUAAUGUUCCAAGCUGCUAUGUGCCGGAUGCGGCAUUUGCUUCUAUCUUCCACUAAUCUGGACUCUUCUGGUCUAGGCAAAUUUAGUGGAGGUGUUGUUUCAACUCAGCUCCCAGGGGGCACAAGUACUGUGACAGACAAGUUCUCUAGCAGGUACGAUGUAAAGAAGAAGGAAUCUAUACCAGUUAGAAUAGCUGGUGAUGUUGAGGGUGGAAUGCUUGAUGGACCUCUUAAUGCACCAGUUGGUGUCUGGCGCUCUGUCGGAGUUCCUAAAGGAGCAAAAUCUGCAAGUUCACCAAGCAUUGAUGGUGCUCCACCUAUGCCUCAUAAUUCAUUGAAUGAAGAAGGUACUUUUGUAUAUGGGCAGAAACGGCCUCUUCAGGGGCUUCUUGAUUCAAUGCCCUUGCUUGUCCAACAGGCCACUUCAUUUGUUGAUGUGGCACUGGAUGCUGACUAUGGUGAUGGUCCAUAUGGUUGGCUUGCAUUAGAAGAGCAGCGUAGGCGUGGGUUCUCUUGUGGGCCUUCUAACAUCCAUGCAGGCUGUGGUGGAAUUUUGGCUUCUUGUCAUUCUUUGGACAUUGCUGGAAUGGAGUUACUUGAUCCACUCUCUGCUAAUGUCAAUGUGGCAUCCAUGCUCAGUUUACUGCAGUCAGAUAUAAAAACAGCUCUAAAAUCUGCUUUUGGGAAUUUGGAUGGUCCAUUGUCCAUACUUGAUUGGUGCAAGGGCCGCAGUCAAUCAAGUGAUACAGGAAGUGUAGCCAAUGGAUAUCUUGUUGAAUCAACUUCAAGUGAUUUGAAAGAUUCUUCAAGUACUGUAGCUGUAGCUGCUGGAGAACCAGUAAGCCCCCCUCAGUCAUCAACUGUUAGUUCAGCUGGAUUAAAAGUGUCUAGUGCCACUGAUGGAGUUAGGGUGGAUGAGAAUUUCCAGAGGAGAUCAAACCAAGAAAUCUGUGGUUCAGAGUCUGAUCAACGUCUCAGGCCAACACCUACUGUGCUUCCAUUGCCUGCUAUACUUGUUGGGUAUCAGGAUGAUUGGCUGAAGACAUCAGCAAACUCUCUUCAACUUUGGGAAAAAGCUCCUCUUGAACCAUAUGCUUUACCAAAACCUAUGUCUUAUUAUGUCAUAUGCCCCGACAUUGAUCCACUUACAUCUGCUGCUGCUGAUUUUUUUCAACAAUUAGGGACAGUUUAUGAAGCUUGCAAACUGGGAAAUCAUGCACCCCAAACUAUGGAAAGCCAAACAGAGCUACCAUCUGGGAGAUGGCUGUCCUCUGGUUUUGUUAUCAUGGAUUGUCCACAAACAAUGAAGAUUGAAAGCAGUAAUGCAUCUUUUGUGGGUUCAAUAAGUGAUUACCUUUUAUCUUUAUCUAAUGGCUGGGAGUUGACCAGCUUUCUCAAGUCUCUUUCAAAAGUUCUUAAGUCUCUAAAACUUAGUUCGAGUUCCACAAUGAGUCAAAAGGAAGGAGUUGCCGAUCCUUGCACAGUAAUCUAUGUGGUGUGCCCCUACCCUGAACCUAUUGCAGUUCUACAGACUGUGGUUGAGUCUUCUGCUGCCAUUGGAUCAAUCAUUCACGCAUCAGAUAAAGAGAGGAGAUCAAUGCUGCACACUCAGGUUGGGAAGGCUCUAAGUUGUUCAACAGCUGUGGAUGAAGCAUCGACAUCAAAUGUUCCAACAAUUUCAGGGUUCAGUAUUCCUAAAUUGGUUCUGCAGAUUAUUACUGUUGAUGCCAUUUUCAGGGUUACUAGUCCAGCCCUUCAUGAGCUUGUCCUUCUUAAGGAGAUUGCAUUCACCGUUUACAACAAGGCUCGCCGGAUAUCUCGGGUAUCAUGUAGUGAUCUAGGACAGUCAUUGGGCAUCUCUGGUAGACCCCAGUCAACAUUGAUGCAUAUUGCUUCUCCUGUUCCCGGGAUGUGGAAGGACUCUGUUACUCGAAUUACAGGACCAUCCCUUUCAAGAGAUAAUGAACUCGAUUCUGGGUUAAGGCCUGGUACUUGGGAUAAUUCUUGGCAAACAUCAAGGACUGGUGGAAUAAACUGUGACCCAAACAGAUCUGGGGAUAUUCUUCUUCAGGAUGAUACUCGAUACUUGUUUGAACCUCUAUUUAUCCUUGCUGAACCUGGCUCUGUAGAGCAUGGAAUUUCACCAACAAUGUCUGGUAGUGUGGCCUUAGAAUCCUCAAGGCCUGCUGAUGAUAAUGGUGGUGGUAGCUUUAUGCAAAACACAAGUUCAUUGGGAAGUGCUGAUAUUGGACCAGGCUCUCUGCUUGAUGGAUCAGAUCUUGGUGUUCUUGGGUCUAGCUAUCAAAAGGCACCAAGCCUUCAUUGCUGUUAUGGAUGGACUGAGGACUGGCGUUGGCUAAUUAGCAUCUGGACUGAUUCAAGAGGAGAGUUGCUUGAUAACCAUAUAUUCCCUUUUGGUGGCAUUAGCAGUAGACAGGACACAAAGGGAUUACAAUGCCUUUUUGUUCAAGUUCUGCAACAAGGUUGCCAGAUACUAUCUUGUUCUCCCCCUGAGAUAGCUCCUGCAAAGACCCGAGAUAUUGUGAUAACUCGAAUUGGAUGUUUCUAUGAGCUUGAAUGCCAAGAAUGGCAGAAAGCCAUUUACACAGUUGGUGGAAAUGAAGUAAAAAAGUGGCUACAACUACGAGGAUCUGUAUCUGAUGGAAUUCCUGGGAGCAGUAAUGGGACUACGUUGCAGCAACAGGAGAUGGGUUUGAUUCAAGAGAGAGCCUUACCUUCCUCUCCAAGCCCUUCUUUGUAUAGCCCUCAUACAAAAUCUUCUGGCUUUAUUAAAGGUGGCAUAGUUCAAAACAGUACAAGAAAGCAGCUUAUGGGUGGGCAAACAACAGUUGACAGCUCAAGGGGGCUCUUUCAGUGGGUGCAGAGUAUCAGUUUAAUUGGAGUUUGCGUUGACCACUCCCUUCAACUAGCCUUUCAACCUGAUGCACCCUUCCCUGGGGGAGGAACCCAAGGAGGCAGUGGAAAUGCCCCAUCUGUCUAUCUGGAAGGUUUCAGCUCCAUUAAGUCUGUUGGUUCUGUAUCUGCAUCCUACAUUAUUACCCCAUCACCCAGUAUGCGCUUCCUCCUUCCAAUGCCAUUGCAGCUUCCUACAUGCCUAACUGCUGAAUCCCCACCUCUUGCCCAUCUCUUACAUAGCAAGGGAUCUGCUAUUCCUCUACGUACUGGGUUUGUGGUGUCAAAAGCAGCUUCCUCCAUAAGAAAGGACUCCAGGAGCAAUGCCAAAGAAGAAUGGCCUUCAGUCCUUUCAGUCAGUCUUGUUGACUACUAUGGAACCAGCAACAUUACCCAGAAGAUUGUAAGAGGGAGUGGAACACAGGCCAGAACUAUUGAUAAUAAAGAUGGUGAAUUAGAGACUCAUUUGAUUCUCGAGUCUGUUGCAGCAGAGCUCCAUUCUCUAUCUUGGAUGACAGUGAGCCCAGCAUACUUGGAAAGACGCACUGCAUUGCCCUUUCACUGUGACAUGCUUUUAAGGCUAAGAAGGCUACUCCAUUAUGCUGACAAGGAGCUCACUCAGCAGCGUGAAACCUUACAAGUGUAGAAAAGUAGGCAGAAAAUUGGUAGUUACACAGUUAACUUGCUUCUUCUUACUGGCUUUGCUGUGAAUUACAUGAUAUCUUGCGUUCCUGUUGAUACAUGCUGACUUAGCAAUGCCAGCCAUGAAGAUGAGCACAAAAUGAGAGAAAUGCAGGACAUGCCUAUUAGGCCUGCAUUGAUGUACAUCUUCUGUACUAAUUGUAACAUGCAAUUUGUAUGUGACAACACGUUGGGCCUAGGGUUCAUGAGGUUCUCCACCAUGUGCGAUAUAACUACUAGAUACUCCAUAUCCAUGAUUUGAUAAAAAAAAAAACGUCCAUAUAGUUAAAUUAUGAGCCCUUAAAACAUUUCUGAUGCUUGUUCUUUUUGGUCUACCCAUGGCUUUAGUAUCUAAUUGUAAUAAUAAUAUGUUACUUUGUACAGGUGCUGUAGAUGGUUGUGAUCAGCACAUAAGACAAAUUAUACACGAACAGUGUCCUAUAAAUUCAUA